ACCUAGCCGUUGUUGUUAUUCAGGAUGAGAUGAGGAAGGUGUUGUUGUUAUUCAGGAUGAGAUGAGGAAGGUGUUGUUGUUAUUCAGGAUGAGAUGAGGAAGGUGAGGGAAAACCUAGCCGUUGUUGUUAUUCAGGAUGAGAUGAGGAAGGUGUUGUUGUUAUUCAGGAUGAGAUGAGGAAGGUGUUGUUGUUAUUCAGGAUGAGAUGAGGAAGGUGUUGUUGUUAUUCAGGAUGAGAUGAGGAAGGUGAGGGAAAACCUAGCCGUUGUUGUUAUUCAGGAUGAGAUGAGGAAGGUGUUGUUGUUAUUCAGGAUGAGAUGAGGAAGGUGUUGUUGUUAUUCAGGAUGAGAUGAG